UACGAAGGGGGGCUAGCGUUGCUCGGAAUCACUGGGCGUAAAGCGCACGUAGGCGGCUUUUUAAGUCAGGGGUGAAAUCCUGGAGCUCAACUCCAGAACUGCCUUUGAUACUGAGAGCUUGAGUCCGGGAGAGGUGAGUGGAACUGCGAGUGUAGAGGUGAAAUUCGUAGAUAUUCGCAAGAACACCAGUGGCGAAGGCGGCUCACUGGCCCGGUACUGACGCUGAGGUGCGAAAGCGUGGGGGACAAACAGG
rnacentral:rRNA from 1 species